rnacentral:rRNA from 1 species
UACGUAGGGUGCGAGCGUUGUCCGGAAUUAUUGGGCGUAAAGAGCUUGUAGGCGGUUUGUCGCGUCUGCUGUGAAAAUCCGGGGCUCAACCCCGGACUUGCAGUGGGUACGGGCAGACUGGAGUGUGGUAGGGGAGACUGGAAUUCCUGGUGUAGCGGUGGAAUGCGCAGAUAUCAGGAGGAACACCGGUGGCGAAGGCGGGUCCCUGGGCCGAUACUGACGCUGAGGAGCGAAAGCAUGGGUAGCGAACAGG